AAGAAUACUUGGCAGGGGAGCUACCAUUGCACUCCGAAUGUGCUGACCCCUGCGAUUUCCCCAAAUGUAGGAAAUUUGACUGCAUAAUUUGUGAUGGGGGAAAAAAAGAGAAAAUCCCAA
ensembl:snRNA U1 U1 spliceosomal RNA